rnacentral:rRNA from 1 species
CCUGGCGGCGAUAGUGCGGUGGACCCACCUGAGACCAUACCGAACUCAGAAGUGAAACGCUGUAAUGCCGAUGGUAGUGUGGGGUUUC